rnacentral:rRNA from 1 species
AUGGCGGCCGAGGAAGGCGAGAAGAAGAUGAUCAUGCUCAAGAGCUCGGACAGCGAGGAAUUUCUUGUCGAGGAGGCGGUUGCCAUGGAGUCUCAAACCAUCUGCCACAUGAUCGAGGACGACUGCACCGACAAUGGCAUCCCGCUUCCCAACAUUGACUGCAAGAUCCUCUCCAAGGUCAUCGAGUACUGCAAGAAGCACGUCCAGGACGCCAGCUCCUCCACCUCUAAUGCAGCCACCGCCCCCGCCAAGGACCUCAAGAGCUUUGACACCGAGUUCGUCAAAGUCGACCAGGCCACUCUCUUCGACCUCAUCCUCGCUGCACACUACCUCAACAUCAAGGGAUUGCUCGACCUUACUUGCCAAACUGUUGCCGACAUGAUCAAGGGAAAGACCCCCGAGGAGAUCUGCAAGACUUUCAACAUCAAGAAUGACUUCACACCCGAGGAGGAGGCCGAGAUCCGCAGGGAGAACCAGUGGGCUUUUGAGUAG